GGCGUAAAGAGCUCGUAGGCGGUUUGUCGCGUCUGCUGUGAAAGCCCGGGGCUUAACCCCGUGGUGUGCAGUGGGUACGGGCAGACUUGAGUGCAGUAGGGGAGACUGGAAUUCCUGGUGUAGCGGUGAAAUGCGCAGAUAUCAGGAGGAACACCGAUGGCGAAGGCAGGUCUCUGGGCUGUUACUGACGCUGAGGAGCGAAAGCAUGGGGAGCGAACAGGAUUAGAUACCCUGGUAGUCCAUGCCGUAAACGUUGGGCACUAGGUGUGGGGGACAUUCCACGUUUUCCGCGCCGUAGCUAACGCAUUAAGUGCCCCGCCUGGGGAGUACGGCCGCAAGGCUAAAACUCAAAGGAAUUGACGGGGGCCCGCACAAGCGGCGGAGCAUGCGGAUUAAUUCGAUGCAACGCGAAGAACCUUACCAAGGCUUGACAUACACCAGACCGGCCCAGAGAUGGGUUUUCCUCUUUGAGGUUGGUGUACAGGUGGUGCAUGGUUGUCGUCAGCUCGUGUCGUGAGAUGUUGGGUUAAGUCCCGCAACGAGCGCAACCCUCGUUCUAUGUUGCCAGCACGUGAUGGUGGGGACUCAUAGGAGACUGCCGGGGUCAACUCGGAGGAAGGUGGGGAUGACGUCAAAUCAUCAUGCCCCUUAUGUCUUGGGCUUCACGCAUGCUACAAUGGCCGGUACAAUGGGUUGCGAUACCGUGAGGUGGAGCUAAUCCCAAAAAGCUGGUCUCAGUUCGGAUCGUGGUCUGCAACUCGACCACGUGAAGUCGGAGUCGCUAGUAAUCGCAGAUCAGCAACGCUGCGG
rnacentral:rRNA from 1 species